ensembl:snRNA U11 spliceosomal RNA
UAAAAGGGCUUCCGCCAGCAAUGGCACCAAGAUUGUAUUCAUUACAGUCUUGGCUGAAUCGCAAUCAAAAGAUUUAGGAAGCACAAUUUUUAAUCCCGGGAUUUGUGGAGGACUUUCAGUCUUGCACAUCCCU